rnacentral:tRNA from 1 species
ACUCAUAUAGUUUAGUUAAAAUAUAAUAUUGAAAUUAUUAAGAGAUUUAAUUGUUUUGGGUA